rnacentral:rRNA from 1 species
UACGAAGGGUGCAAGCGUUGUUCGGAUUUACUGGGCGUAGAGCGCGCGCAGGCGGGUAAUUAAGUCAGGUGUGAAAUCUCGGGGCUCAACCCCGAAACUGCGCCUGAAACUGGUUAUCUAGAAUACCAGAGAGGGAAGGGGAAUUUCACAUGUAGGGGUAAAAUCCGUAGAUAUGUGAAGGAAUACCGGAGGCGAAGGCGCCUUCCUGGAUGGUUAUCGACGCUGAGGCGCGAAAGCGUGGGGAGCAAACAGG